AAAGUACGCCCUCCGUUCGGAAUUACUUGUCUCGGAAAUGGAUGUAUCUAGAACUAAAAUACAUCUAGAUGCAUCCAUUUUUGCGACAAGUAAUUCCGAACGGAGGGAGUAGUUC
rnacentral:pre_miRNA from 1 species